CACUCCUGCGGGAGGCAGCAGUGGGGAAUUUUGGACAAUGGGCGAAAGCCUGAUCCAGCCAUGCCGCGUGCAGGAUGAAGGCCUUCGGGUUGUAAACUGCUUUUGUACGGAACGAAACGGCCUUUUCUAAUAAAGAGGGCUAAUGACGGUACCGUAAGAAUAAGCACCGGCUAACUACGUGCCAGCAGCCGCGGUAAUACGUAGGGUGCAAGCGUUAAUCGGAAUUACUGGGCGUAAAGCGUGCGCAGGCGGUUAUGUAAGACAGUUGUGAAAUCCCCGGGCUCAACCUGGGAACUGCAUCUGUGACUGCAUAGCUAGAGUACGGUAGAGGGGGAUGGAAUUCCGCGUGUAGCAGUGAAAUGCGUAGAUAUGCGGAGGAACACCGAUGGCGAAGGCAAUCCCCUGGACCUGUACUGACGCUCAUGCACGAAAGCGUGGGGAGCAAACAGGAUUAGAAACCCUAGUAGUCCCA
rnacentral:rRNA from 1 species